CCUGCCGGCGGGCACCGCUAUUGGAGUUCGCUUAAGCCAUGCGAGUCGAGAGGGGUAAGCCCUCGGCGCACUGCUCAGUAACACGCGGAUAAUCUGCCCUCGAGUGGGGGAUAACCCCGGGAAACUGGGAAUAAUACCCCAUAGCCGUUCCAUGAUGGAAGGCUGGGACGGCGAAAGCUGAGGCGCUCGAGGAUGGAUCUGUGGCCUAUCAGGUCGUAGGGGGUGUCACGGACCCCCUAGCCGAAGACGGGUACGGGCUAUGAGAGAAGUCGCCCGGAGAUGGGUUCUGAGACAUGAACCCAGGUCCUACGGGACGCAGCAGGCGCGAAACCUCCACAAUGUGGGAAACCACGAUGGGGGAACUCCAAGUGGAUGCACUUUGUGUAUUCUGUUCUCGAGCCUAAAAAGCUCGAGAAGUAAGGGCCGGGUAAGACGGGUGCCAGCCGCCGCGGUAAUACCCGCGGCCCGAGUGGUGCUCAUUAUUAUUGAGUCUAAAGCGUCCGUAGCCGGCCGGGUAAAUCUCUGGGUAAAUCGGGCGGCUCAACCGUCCGAAUUCCAGAGACACUGCCCGGCUUGGGAUCGGGAGAGG
rnacentral:rRNA from 1 species